CCGGACAUCGCUCUCCUCGUUGGGGCAGGUUAUUUUACACCCAGGUCGCACCUUUGAGAGAAUUAUAUAAGCUAAAACACGGAUAUCCUCAUCUUUAGCAGCUUCACUCUUCUCUCCUCCUUCCUGACCGUCAUGCUCCUCUGCAGUGGGCUCAAUACUACCUUCCUGAACUGGUGCAGGCACUGACUCAACAUCAAACAUCACCUGAUCCUCCUCUCCCCCAGUCCCCUCAUCACAC